AGGCGUGUAGCUCAGUGGCAGAGCACUGUCAUUACGGGACAGAUGUCGGGGGUUCGAUUCCUUCCGCGCCUA
rnacentral:tRNA from 1 species